rnacentral:rRNA from 1 species
GUGGGGAAUAUUGCACAAUGGGCGAAAGCCUGAUGCAGCAACGCCGCGUGAGUGAUGAAGGUCUUCGGAUUGUAAAGCUCUGUCUUUUGGGACGAUAAUGACGGUACCAAAGGAGGAAGCCACGGCUAACUACGUGCCAGCAGCCGCGGUAAUACGUAGGUGGCGAGCGUUGUCCGGAUUUACUGGGCGUAAAGGGUGCGUAGGCGGAUGUUUAAGUGAGAUGU